rnacentral:lncRNA from 1 species
GAUAUACUAGAUAAAGAUAGUUAUAUUUAAAUUUAUUUAAUUAUGGUACUAAUUAUUUUUUUAUUCAGUUGACAUAUUUAAAGUAUGAUAAAAAUUGAUUAACUAAGUUUUAAUAUUUUCUUUAUUUAGUUUGUACAAUUAAAAUAUGAUAAAAUUUGAUUAAUUAAGUAUUAAUGUUUUUUUACUUUAUAAUUUUAUUAUUGUAUUACUAUAAUAAAAUGUAUAAAAAAAUAAUUUAGUUGUUUUAAGUUAAAUUGUAAUUAUAUAAAAAUAUAAUUAUAUUACCUUAUUUAUUAAAUUAUUUAUUAUUGAUAUAUAAAUUAUAGUUUUAUCUUAUACACUUCCUACCGAACAAACAAUAUAAUUAAUGAAACUUCACUUCUAUAACUAUAAAAUAAGCAGCGAGGAAGAAAUAAUUUUCACUGAAUUUCACUUCAAUCCAAAGCCCAGUUUCGAUGAAACAAACAUAUC